rnacentral:rRNA from 1 species
ACGGGGGGUGCUAGCGUUGUUCGGAAUCAUUGGGCGUAAAGAGCGUGUAGGCGGCUGGAUAAGUCAGAUGUGAAAGCCCUGGGCUUAACCCAGGAAGUGCAUUUGAAACUGUUCAGCUUGAGUAAGGGAGAGGAAAGUGGAAUUCCUGGUGUAGCGGUGAAAUUCGUAGAUAUCAGGCGGAACACCGGUGGCGGAGGCGACUCACAGAGCCUAUACUGACGCUGAGGCGCGAGAGUGUGGGUAGCAAACAG